GAUGAAGAACGCAGCGAAAUGCGAUAAGUGAUGUGAAUUGCAGAAUUCAGUGAAUCAUCGAGUUUUUGAACGCAUAUUGCGCCCUCUGGUAUUCCGGGGGGCAUGCCUGUUCGAGCGUCAUUAAAUAACCCUCAAGCAUAGCUUGGUGUUGGGCUUUUUUACGUCCUUGACUGGGAUGGGCCUAAAAAUUAGUGGCGAUGGCUUUUUUACUUUCAAGCGUAGUAAAUCUCGUCUUGCUAAAGAGGAAAAAGAUUUUUUUUCUGCCAAAAAUUUUAACAUUUAAAGUUGACCUCGGAUCAGGUAGGAUUACCCGCUGAACUUAAGCAUAUCAAUAAGCGGAGGA
rnacentral:misc_RNA from 1 species